rnacentral:tRNA from 2 species
GGAGAGAUGGCAGAGUGGUCGAUCGCGCAGGCUUGGAAAGCUUGUAAGGGUUAAUAGCCCUUCGAGGGUUCGAAUCCCUCUCUCUCCGCCA